rnacentral:rRNA from 1 species
CGGGGGAAAUGCCGCAGGUGACCUGCGGAGGUCAUUACCUAGAGUUGUAGGCUUUGCCUGCUAUCUCUUACCCAUGUCUUUUAAGUACCUUCGUUUCCUCGGCGGGUUCGCCCGCCGAUUGGACAAUUUAAACCAUUUGCAGUUGCAAUCAGCGUCUGAAAAAACUUAAUAGUUACAACUUUCAACAACGGAUCUCUUGGUUCUGGCAUCGAUGAAGAACGCAGCGAAAUGCGAUAAGUAGUGUGAAUUGCAGAAUUCAGUGAAUCAUCGAAUCUUUGAACGCACAUUGCGCCCCUUGGUAUUCCAUGGGGCAUGCCUGUUCGAGCGUCAUUUGUACCUUCAAGCUCUGCUUGGUGUUGGGUGUUUGUCUCGCCUCUGCGUGUAGACUCGCCUCAAAACAAUUGGCAGCCGGCGUAUUGAUUUCGGAGCGCAGUACAUCUCGCGCUUUGCACUCAUAACGACGACGUCCAAAAGUACAUUUUUACACUCUUGACCUCGGAUCAGGUAGGGAUACCCGCUGAACUUAA